CCCUUAGAUGUUCUGGGCGGCCCGCGCACUACAUUGGCACUAGCAAAGAGAUCCUAGAUUGAAUUCUUUGGGGUAUUCUUCUAAAUGGUGUCGUGACUGGGAUAAAUCCUUGUAAUUAUUGGUUUUGAACGAGGAAUUCCUUGUAAUCGCGGUUUAUCAGCUCGCGUUGAAUGCGUCCCUGCCCUUUGUACACACCGCCCGUCGCUCCUACCGAUGGAUCGUCCGGUGAAGCUCGCGGAGUGACUGUUCACGCAACGGUUUACGAAGUGAAAUGGACCUCACGAUUUAGAGGAAGGAGAAGUCGUAACA
rnacentral:rRNA from 1 species